GUGGAUUAGAUACCCUGGUAGUCCACGCCCUAAACUAUGAUCACUCGUUGUUGGCGAUACACAGUCAGCGACUAAGGGAAACCAUUAAGUGAUCCACCUGGGGAGUACGACCGCAAGGUUGAAACUCAAAGGAAUUGACGGGGGCCCGCACAAGCGGAGGAGCAUGUGGUUUAAUUCGAUGAUACGCGAGGAACCUUACCUGGGCUUGAAAGUUAGUGACAUCCCGUGAAAGCGGGACUUCCGCAAGGACACGAAACUAGGUGCUGCACGGCCGUCGACAACU
rnacentral:rRNA from 1 species